GGUUAUUUGUUUUUUUGGGGGGAGGUUUGAUUUUUUUUGUGAAUACCUUUGAGACCUAAGGGAUUAAAUUUCCAAGUAAUAAAAAUCAGCACAGCUCCAUUGAUCUGAAUAAGGCAACGUUGUUUUGUGCCCUAGGGAUUAGCCUCACCAAAGGCUUUGUAAGCUUUUUUUUAAGUUAAAGAGACAGGCUGUUCUCUGCUUCAGUGCUGAAAGAAAUGGAGAAUUGUGAGCUCAGGUUAAUGUAAUCUACAGCUUUAAAUGAUAAAACUGCAGGGUGUUUGGAGGCUUUAGAGACUGAUUGUAAAAAUCUACUACACUGGUUGAGAGAGCCAGAACGUUACAGUUUAUGUGUCUAUAUGCCUAUAGAUAUAUAUAUCCCACAAUUAUUCAGUAGGUGGCAGCUAAAAGCCUAGAUGAGCUUUGCAGUCGCCAUUUAGGCAGCAGCGCGGGCAGAGGCUGGAGCCGGUGCGCCCGUGGAGGCACAAGGAGGGAGGCUGCGGUCCAGGAGCAUCAUCCGCCACCCAGCAUAUCUGAGGCUCCUGCAUGAAGAACGUGGAACAAGUUCAACCACACAGCUGCAAAUCAAUGGUCCCAUGGAUCUGGAGGAAUGAUUGUGAUGUACAGCUAUUUAUCUUUAUUCCUGGUUUUCCCCCUAGCUGAG
rnacentral:lncRNA from 1 species